CUAAACUCCAGGAUCUCCAGAGCCAGAGAUGAGAAACCAUGCAUCACUGAGAUUAAAACCUCAAGAACAGGGUUCCUCAAAUUUGGCCCUACUCUACAAAGUUUUGCCCAAACUCUAAUUAAAGACACCCGAGCAAGCUAAUCAAGGUCUUCGGAGUUACUUGAAAAGUACAGGUGUGAGCUGGCAUUCCAUAAAUGCUUCGCGAGAUACCUGGCCGAUGGGUUUACAUGUGACAGAUCAGUGUGAGUUUUCUCAGCUGAAGGAGUACAGAUGCAAGGAAUGCUCCUGCUGGAAUGUCUCACUCCUCAGGGGGCUCCAGUACACUUCAAGGUCAACCAAUGGCCUGGUGUGCUAGCAGUCACCUCCUUCCACUACCAGAAUCAUCACUGUCCUUGCGCAAUAGCAGCAGGCUUCCCAGGCUCCCCAAAUUUCAGUGGAACCACCAGGGACUUAGUCCAUUCCAGAAACAUCUGCAAUUUGAAAAUGUAAAAGCCUUGAAGACAUCUGCAGUUUCUUCAGAUGAACAUGUAGAGCAAUCAUAUUGCUAUAGUUCCCAAGGAGACUUGCUGAGAUUCCAAAACUUCCAGGAGUGUGGAUUGAAUAAAUUUCCCUUACCAACUCUUUCCCCUUUCCUUUCCAAAGAAGGUUACGGCCGUCUACUUUUAAAGGCAUCCUAUUAUACCUCUUUUACAAGCUGUAAUAUGUAAUAAAAAGUCUCAGGUGAGCCCAGAACAUGUCUGUGAAGUGUCAGCUCAUAAUACCCCACAUAUCAUUUAUUAUAGCUAACCAUUCUGGAAUGGAGCAUAAGGUCUUUUUUGGUGCACUUUGUUUGCUGCUAUACAGCAUCACAGGUAUAGUUUUCACCAAGUUUUCUGCUACUAAGUGCAAUUAUUUAAAAAAUGAGUUAAAGGGGUCAUAUGAUGUUGCUAAAGAGAACAUUAUUUUGUGUAUUUGGUGUAAUGCAAUGUAAUGUGUUUAUGUAGUUUAAGGUUCAAAAAACAUUUACACAUAACAUAAAACAUUAUUUUCACAUAACAUAAUGUACAUUAUUGUUUCUCCUCUAUGCCCUGCCUUUCUG
ensembl:lncRNA